AUGGAGGCCCCGAGCAGCCACGUCACCGCCUCCUUCUCCGACUGCGACGACAGCGUCUCCAUGGAGGACGCGGCGCCCGACGCGGACGUGGAGGCGCUCCGCCGCCUCUCCGACAACCUCGCCGCCGCCUUCCGCUCGCCGGACGACUUCGCCUUCCUCGCCGACGCGCUCGUCGCCGUGCCGGGCGCGCCCGACCUGCGCGUGCACCGCUGCGUGCUGUCCGCGCGGAGCCCCUUCCUGCGCGCCCUCUUCAAGCGCCGCGCCGCCGCCGCCGGGUCGUCCGGCGGCGUGGAGGGGAACCGGCUGGAGCUCCGGGAGCUUCUCGGCGACGAGGUCGAGGUCAGGUACGAGGCGCUGGAGCUGGUGCUCGACUACCUGUACAGCGGCCGCGUCCGCGACCUCCCCAAGUCGGCGUGCGCCUGCGUCGACGAGGGCGGCUGCGCGCACGUCGGCUGCCACCCCGCCGUCUCCUUCAUGGCGCAGGUCCUCUUCGCCGCAUCCACCUUCCAGGUCGGCGAGCUCGCCAACCUCUUCCAGCGGCAUCUCCUUGAUUUCCUUGAUAAAGUUGAAGUGGAUAACCUUCCGUUGAUCUUAUCUGUUGCAAACUUAUGCAACAAAUCUUGCGUGAAACUGUUCGAGAGAUGCAUGGAGAUGGUAGUCCGGUCAAAUCUUGACAUGAUUACUCUAGAGAAAGCAUUGCCUCAAGAUGUCAUCAAGCAAAUUACUGAUUUACGGAUAACUCUUGGAUUAGCUUCACCCGAAGACAAUGGCUUUCCUAACAAACACGUAAGAAGGAUACUCAGAGCACUUGAUUCUGAUGAUGUGGAGCUUGUCAGGAUGCUGCUCACAGAAGGGCAGACUAACCUUGAUGAUGCAUUUGCAUUGCACUAUGCUGUAGAACACUGUGACUCAAAAAUUACAACAGAACUUCUGGACAUCGCACUUGCGGAUGUUAAUCUCAGAAACCCAAGAGGUUAUACUGUUCUUCACAUCGCCGCUAAGCGGAGAGAUCCUAAAAUCGUUGUCUCCCUUUUAACCAAAGGUGCCCGGCCUUCAGAUUUUACAUUUGAUGGAAGAAAAGCAGUUCAAAUCUCAAAGAGACUCACAAAACAUGGUGAUUAUUUUGGGAAUACUGAAGAAGGAAAGCCGUCUCCCAAUGAUAAAUUAUGCAUUGAGAUAUUGGAGCAAGCUGAAAGAAGGGAUCCACAACUUGGAGAAGCAUCACUUUCUCUUGCAUUGGCUGGUGACUGUCUUCGUGGAAAGUUACUGUACCUUGAAAACCGAGUUGCUUUGGCAAGGAUAAUGUUUCCAAUUGAGGCAAGAGUAGCAAUGGACAUUGCUCAAGUGGAUGGUACUUUGGAAUUUACCCUUGGUUCUAGUACAAAUCCACCUCUGGAGAUAACAACCGUUGAUCUGAAUGAUACUUCUUUCAAAAUGAAGGAGGAACACUUAGCUCGGAUGAGAGCCCUCUCCAAAACAGUUGAACUCGGCAAACGUUUCUUCCCACGCUGUUCAAAUGUGCUGGACAAGAUCAUGGACGAUGAACCUGAGCUGGCUUCCCUCGGAAGAGAUGCAUCCUCCGAGAGGAAGAGGAGGUUUCACGACCUGCAAGAUACGCUUCUGAAGGCGUUCAGCGAGGACAAGGAGGAGUUUAACAGAACGACAACCCUUUCAUCUUCGUCAUCGUCGACGUCCACUGUAGCAAGGAACUUGGCAGGUCGAACUAGGAGAUGA
rnacentral:rRNA from 1 species